GAAGGCAUAGCUCAGUGGUAGAGUGUGUGCUUAGCGUGCACGGGGUCCUGGGUUCAGUUCCCAGUACCUCCA
rnacentral:tRNA from 1 species